CCAGUCCCUUUCAUCUCUCUCUCUCUCUCUCUGUACUUCCUCUCUCUUAAUCAGCACCUCCGUUCGCCGCGCCUCCACCCUACCGUAACCAAACCCCUCUGCCCCCACCCACCCACGCCAAACCCUGCUAACCCCACCCACCACGAAAUCUCACCUGUCGCCACCACUCUCUCUCUCUCUCUCUCUCUCUCUCUCUCUCUCUCAGAUCUGAAAUGCCAUGAGCAUCCCGCGCCACCACCCCUCAACCCAAUCCACAUUCAACAUUAUCCCCAUCCACUCCCCCCUCGCCGACCACCCCUCCCUCCGCUACCCCGAAAUCCGCGCCGCCUCCUCCUCCCUCCUCGCCGUCCAAGACCUCCCCCGGCCCCCCUUCUCCGCCCCAUGGCACGACCACAUGGACCUCCUCGACUGGCUCUCCUCCUUCUUCUGCUUCCAACCCGACAACGUCCGCAACCAGCGCGAGCACCUCGUCCUCCACCUCGCCAACUCCCACCUCCGCCUCUCCUCCCCUCCCUCCUCCUCCUCCUCCUCCCUCGACUCCCUCCCCCCCUCCAUCCUCCGCCGCUUCCGCCGCCACCUCUUGAAAAACUACACCCUCUGGUGCUCCUUCCUCGGCCAAAAAUCCAACCUCCGCCUCGCAACCGAUCCCGCAAACCCUAACCCUAACCGCCGCGAGCUCCUCUACGUCUGCCUCUACCUCCUCAUCUGGGGUGAGUCCGCUAACCUCCGCUUCCUGCCAGAAUGCAUUUGUUACAUCUUUCAUCACUUGGCAAUGGACUUGAACAAGAUCUUAGACGGUAACAUAGAUGAGAACACGGGGAGACCCUUCGUGCCCCAUUUAUCGGGCGAAAACGCCUUCUUGAACCGGGUCGUGAGGCCCAUUUACGAAACAGUUAGGGCGGAGGUGGAGAACAGCAGGAACGGAACCGCGCCGCACUCGGCGUGGCGGAAUUAUGAUGAUGUGAACGAGUAUUUCUGGAGUAGGAGGUGUUUUGAGAAGCUGAAGUGGCCGAUUGAUGUGAGUAGUAACUUUUUCGUGACAAGUAAUGGGAAAGGAGGGGGAGGGGGGAAGCGUGUGGUGGGUAAGACCGGGUUUGUGGAGCAGAGGUCGUUUUGGAACUUGUUCCGGAGCUUCGAUAAGCUCUGGAUCGCGUUGGUCUUGUUCUUCCAGGCGGCGUUUAUUGUCGCCUGGGAGGAGAGGGAUUAUCCGUGGGAGGCGUUGGAGACUAGGGACGUUCAGGUUAGGGUUCUGACCGUGUUGUUUACUUGGAGUGGAUUGAGGUUUCUCCAGUCACUUUUGGAUAUUGGAAUGCAGUAUAAUUUGGUUUCUAGGGAGACUUUGUGGCUUGGAGUGAGGAUGGUGUUGAAGAGUGUUGUUGCCGCAGGGUGGAUUCUGGUUUUCGGGGUUUUCUAUGGUAGGGUUUGGGCCCAGAAGAAUCACGAUAGAGAGUGGUCUCACGAGGCAUAUAAUCGAUUGGUUACGUUUCUGGAGGUUGCAUUGGUUUUCAUAUUGCCAGAGCUUCUGUCACUGGCUCUUUUUGUUUUACCCUGGAUUCGGAAUUUCCUGGAGAACACGAAUUGGAGGAUCUUUUACUUGUUGUCCUGGUGGUUUCAGAGCCGAACGUUUGUGGGUCGUGGCCUGAGAGAAGGUCUGGUGGACAGUACGAAGUAUACUUUGUUCUGGCUUGUGGUGCUUGCUACAAAAUUUUGCUUCACUUACUUCUUACAGAUCAAACCCAUGAUUGGUCCGACGAAAACCCUACUGGAUCUUAGGAAUGUGGCGUAUGAGUGGCCAGAAUUUUACCGCCACAGCAAUAGGUUUGCAGUUGGGCUAUUGUGGCUCCCAGUGGUCUUGAUUUACCUAAUGGAUUUGCAGAUUUGGUACUCAAUCUACUCCUCAUUUGUUGGCGCAGCAGUGGGGUUGUUUGCACAUUUAGGCGAGAUACGAAACUUGCAGCAGUUGAGGUUGAGAUUCCAGUUCUUUGCCAGUGCGAUGCAGUUUAAUCUCAUGCCUGAGGAGCAGCUUUUAAAUACAAAGGGAACACUGAAGAGCAAAAUCAAGGAUGCUAUUCACCGGUUGAAGCUGAGGUACGGGUUUGGGAGACCCUUUAAGAAGCUGGAAUCUAAUCAGGCCGAGGCAAACAAGUUUGCAUUAAUAUGGAAUGAGAUAAUUACGACAUUCAGAGAAGAAGAUAUUGUUAGUGACCAAGAGGUCGAGUUGUUGGAGCUACCUGAAAAUAGCUGGAAUGUUAGGGUUAUCCGUUGGCCUUGUUUACUACUCUGCAAUGAGCUGCUUCUCGCUCUAAGUCAGGCUAAAGAGUUGGUGGAUGCACCUGACAAGUGGCUUUGGUAUAAAAUUUGCAAGAAUGAGUAUAGACGUUGCGCUGUUAUUGAAUCAUAUGACAGUGUCAGGCAUUUGUUGCUUGCUAUUGUCAAAUGUGACACAGAGGAACACUCCAUCAUCACACUUUUGUUUCAAGAAAUUGACCAGUCAAUUCAGAUUGAGAAGUUCACAAAGACAUACAAUAUGACUGCACUUCCCCAGAUCCAUUCCAAGUUGAUUACUCUCCUUGAGCUAUUGAUCAAGCCUAAGAAAGAUAUUCACAGGGCGGUGAAUGUUCUUCAGGCCCUUUAUGAGAUUGUUAUAAGAGACUUCUACAAAGUGACGAGGAGCACUGAUCAACUGAGGGAGGAUGGUUUGGCCUCUCGUAGGCCCGCUUCCAGCCAUGGGUUGCUUUUUGAGAAUUCCAUUGAAUUGCCUGCAAGCGAAACUGAGACAUUUUACCGCCAGGCUCGGCGGUUGCACACCAUUCUGACGUCUCGCGACUCGAUGAACAAUAUCCCAGCAAAUCUCGAAGCACGACGCCGAAUAGCUUUCUUCAGUAACUCUCUGUUUAUGAACAUGCCCCAUGCUCCCCAAGUUGAGAAAAUGAUGGCUUUUAGUGUGUUGACACCUUACUACAACGAAGAAGUGAUGUAUAGCAAGGAACAACUUCGAACUGAGAAUGAAGAUGGGAUUUCAACGUUAUACUACUUGCAAACUAUCUAUGCAGAUGAAUGGAAGAAUUUCAUUGAGCGGAUGCGAAGAGAAGGAAUGGCAGAUGAUUGGGAGUUAUGGACAAGCAAGCUAAGAGAUCUUAGGCUUUGGGCUUCGUACAGAGGGCAGACUCUCUCUCGCACAGUGAGAGGAAUGAUGUAUUACUAUAGGGCUCUUAAGAUGUUGGCGUUUCUGGAUUCUGCAUCAGAGAUGGACAUCAGGGAAGGAUCCAAUGGUUUUACUUCAGAAAGGUCACCAUCUACCAGGGGUUUGAGUAGAGCAGAUAGUUCACUGAGUUUACAGUUCAAAGGUCAUGAAGACGGGAUUGCUUUAAUGAAAUACACUUACGUGGUGGCUUGUCAGAUAUACGGGGCUCAAAAGGCGAAAAAGGACCCCCAAGCUGAUGAAAUUUUGUAUCUGAUGAAAAACAACGCAGCACUUCGAGUUGCCUAUGUUGAUGAGGUGUUUUCAGGGAGAGAUGAUAAGGAGUACUAUUCUGUUCUCGUGAAGUAUGAUCAACAGUUGCAGAAGGAAGUGGAGAUAUACAGGAUCAAGUUGCCGGGUCCCUUGAAGCUAGGAGAAGGAAAGCCAGAGAAUCAGAACCAUGCCUUCAUAUUCACCCGCGGUGAUGCGGUUCAGACAAUAGACAUGAACCAAGAUAACUAUUUUGAGGAAGCACUCAAGAUGCGGAACCUGUUAGAGGAGUAUAGGAGCUACUAUGGUAUUCGAAAGCCAACUAUCUUGGGAGUGAGGGAGCACAUUUUUACUGGUUCUGUCUCGUCACUAGCGUGGUUUAUGUCUGCCCAAGAAACAAGUUUUGUCACUUUGGGACAGCGUGUUUUGGCCAACCCAUUAAAGAUUCGCAUGCAUUAUGGCCACCCUGAUGUAUUUGACAGAUUCUGGUUCUUGACUCGAGGAGGCAUUAGCAAGGCUUCCAGAGUGAUCAAUAUAAGUGAGGAUAUUUUUGCCGGUUUCAAUUGCACAUUGCGAGGUGGCAAUGUCACGCAUCACGAGUACAUCCAGGUUGGUAAGGGAAGGGAUGUGGGAUUGAAUCAGAUAUCCAUGUUUGAAGCCAAGGUCUCGAGUGGAAAUGGUGAGCAAAUCCUAAGUAGAGAAGUCUAUAGGUUGGGACACAGGCUGGACUUCUUCCGGAUGCUAUCCUUCUUCUACACAACUGUGGGUUUCUUUUUCAACACGCAAAUGGUGAUCCUAACCGUCUAUAUGUUUCUGUGGGGCCGACUUUAUCUAGCACUUAGCGGAGUUGAGGCUUCUGCAAUGGCGGAUGAUGCAACCAACAACAGAGCACUUGGUGCGAUUUUGAACCAGCAGUUCAUCAUCCAACUUGGUAUUUUCACUGCCCUACCCAUGAUUGUGGAGAACUCUCUUGAGCAUGGAUUCCUUGGGGCGAUCUGGGAUUUUAUAACAAUGCAGCUUCAGCUGUCAUCUGUAUUCUACACGUUCUCCAUGGGAACUCGGGCCCACUAUUUUGGACGAACUAUUCUUCAUGGUGGUGCUAAGUACAGGGCAACUGGACGUGGUUUUGUGGUGCAACACAAGAGUUUUGCCGAGAAUUACAGGCUUUAUGCUCACAGCCAUUUUGUGAAGGCGAUUGAGCUUGGGGUCAUACUCAUAGUUUAUGCUUCAUACAGCCCAGUAGCAACUGGCACUUUUGUUUACAUUUGUUUGACAAUCUCAAGUUGGCUCUUGGUGAUGUCGUGGAUCAUGGCUCCUUUUGUUUUCAAUCCCUCGGGUUUUGACUGGUUGAAGACUGUUUAUGAUUUUGAUGACUUUAUGGAUUGGAUUUGGUUCCGUGGUGGAGUGUUUGCAAAAGCUGAGCAGAGCUGGGAAAAAUGGUGGUAUGAGGAACAGGAUCAUCUGAGGACAACUGGGUUUUGGGGAAUGGUAUUGGAAAUAAUCCUAGACCUCCGUUUUUUCUUUUUCCAGUACGGAAUUGUAUAUCAGCUGGAUAUUGCUGCUGGGAGCAAAAGUAUAGUUGUUUACUUGCUCUCUUGGAUCUAUAUGUUCGUAGCUGUUGGCAUUUAUGUAAUUAUAGCAUAUGCGCGGGACAAAUACUCUGCAAAAGUACACAUCUACUACCGGCUGGUUCAGUUCCUUGUUAUUAUUCUUGCCAUUCUUGUGAUGAUUGCUUUGCUGCAGUUCACCCGGUUCACCUUAAAAGAUUUUUUCACGAGUCUAUUGGCUUUUAUUCCUACUGGGUGGGGCCUCAUCUUAAUUGCCCAAGUACUCCGCCCAUUUCUACAAAAGACAAUCAUAUGGGAGAUUGUUAUUUCUGUGGCUCGCUUGUAUGAUAUACUGUUCGGAGUGAUUGUUAUGGCUCCUGUGGCACUACUAUCAUGGAUGCCAGGCUUGCAGUCUAUGCAAACGAGGAUUCUAUUCAAUGAAGCAUUUAGUCGGGGCCUGAAGAUAUUCCAGAUUGUGACAGGCAAAAAAUCUAAAGUUUGACUUGUGAAAGAAGGACAUACUUUUACCGAUUGGAAGGAUACUUUUGGCCAAUUUGGCCACAAAUGUGCACUUCCUGAUCAUGCCAUCGGCAUUGAGGUAUGAGGAUUUGACAUAAUGUUGAGACACGCUAACAAUUCAUUUCACUUGCAAUUCAUUGACAAGGGAGGUGGAUGAUGUCAACUGGUUUUUCGAUCGCUGGCUUCAUCUCCUUUUAACUGUUGUAAUUAGUACUUACUGCUUUGUUGUAGGUGGGGACUGGUUUUCUGUGAUUAUCAUCCCCACCAUGUUCAAGUUUAAAGUCUAUUGUCUCCGUCUGGACUUUGACUCUGACAAGUAGAACUGCGUUAUUUAUUCAGUAUGUGGGUUUUGCUUUUGUUCUCAUAUUGUAUCCUCAUAAAUGUAUUGUUCAGCAUGCUAAAAAGAUCAAAAGGUUAACAAUGGGAGAAUGUUUCUGUUUUU